rnacentral:lncRNA from 13 species
UUUUGCCUUGCCUGCCUUCUUUUUCUUUCUUUUGCCUUGCCUGCCUUCCUCUUUCUUUUGCCUUGCCUGCCUUCUUCUUCUUUUGCCUUGCCUGCCUUUUUUUUCUUUCUUUUGCCUUGCCUGCCAUCUUCUUCUUUGCCUUCUUCUUCUUUUGCCUUGCCUGCCUGCUUCUUCUUUAUUUUGCCUUGCCUGCCUUCUUCUUCUUUUGCCUUGACUGCUUCCUUUUUCUUUCUUUUUCCUUGCCUGCCUUCUUCUUCUUUUGCCUUGCUGCCCUUUGCCGCCUUUUGCCUUGCCGCCUUUGCUACCUUUUGCCUUGAUGCCUUUUGCCUUGCCGCCUUUGCUACCUUUUGCCUUGCUGACUUUUGCCUUGCCGCCUUGCCUUGCCUUUCUCUGCCCUGCCCUGCCCCACCCUGCCCCGUCCUGCCACACCCUGCCCUGCCCUGCCUUGCCUGGGAUUGCCUUCCCUGGGAUUGCCUUCCCUGGGAUUGCCUUGGAUUUCCUUGCCUUGCCUCGGAUUGCCUUGCCUUACCUUUUGCCUUGCCUUGCCUUGUCUUGCCUUGCCUGGCAUUAACUUUCCUGAAAUUACCUUGCCUUGCCUUACCUGCAAUUGCCUUGCCUCGAAUUUCCUUUUCCUGCCUUGUCUUGCCUUGCCUUGCCUGAAAUUGCCUUUCCUGUGAUUGCCUUGCCUGGGAUUGCAUUGCCUAGACUUGCCUUGCCUUUCCUUGCUUUGCCUUGACUUGCAUUGCCUGGAAUUGCCUUGACUGGAAUAGCCUUGCCUUGUCUUGCCUGGAAUUGCCUUGCCUUACCUUGCCUUGCUUGGAGUUACCUUCCCUGGAAUUACCUUGCCUUGCCUUACCUUCAAUUGCCUUGCCUUGAAUUUUCUUUCUUUGCCUUGUCUUGCCUUGCCUUGCCUGAGAUUGCCUUUCCUGUAAUUUCCUUGCCUGGGAUUGCAUUGCCCCACCUGGGAUUGCAUUGCCUUGCCUUGCCUGGCAUUGCCUUCUCUUGCCUUGCCUUGCAUUGCCUAGAAUUGCCUUGCCUCGAAUUGACUUGCCUGGAAUUGCCUUGCUUUGCCUUACCUGGAAUUGGCUUGCCUUGCAUUGCCUUGCCUUGCCUUGGAUUGCCUUCUGUGGAAUUGUCUUGCUUUGUCUGAAUUUGAGUUGCCUCGAUUGGACUUGCCUUGCCUUGCCUUGCCUUACCUUGCCUUUUGCCUUUUGCCUUGCCUUGCCUUUUGCCUUUUGUCUUUUGCCUUUUUUGCCUUUUGCCUUUUGCCGCCUUUUACCUUUUGCCUUGCCUUCCCUUACCUUUCCCUGCCCUUCCCUGCCCUGCCCAGCCCUGCCCUUCCCUGCCUUGCCUUGCCUUGCCUGGAAAUUUUAGCCUUUCCUUUCCUUGCAUUGCCUGAAAUUGCCUUGCCUGGAAUAGCCUUGCCUUGUCUUGCCUGGAACUGCCUUGCCUUGCCUUGCCUGGAGUUACCUUCCAUGGAGUUACCUUGCCUUGUUUUACCUACAAUUGCCUAGCAUCUAAUUUUCUUUCCAUGCCUUGUCUUGCCUUGCCUUCUCUGAAAUUGCCUUUCCUGUGAUUGCCUUUGCUGGGAUUGCAUUGCCUUGCUUUGCCUUGCCUUUCCUUGCCAGGAUUAUUUUGCCUUUCCUUGACUUGCAUUGCC